AUGCCAUGCUGAAUAUACCGGUUCUCGUUAGAUCACCGAAGUCAAGCAUCAUUGGGCGCGGUCAGUACUUGGGUGGGUGACCACCUGGGAACACCGCGUGCCGU